ACAAUACGAUUCACGCACCAAAAGACGGGCGGCGGAUCGGGCCACGUCACCCGCUAAUCCUCUAGCCGUCGGAUCCAGCCAAGACACAAUACGAGCCGUCCGAUCGGGGUCAUAGCAGGUCUCUCACCCGUUAAGCUACCAAUCCGGAUGGUGGCGAACCCGCUCGCGGGUGACUCGGCCUCUCCACCGCCGCCUCCCUUCCUCCGGGCGCGGAUGGGGGUAGCGGCCCGGGUUGCGGGCGCCAUGAGCGCGGUGUUCAUGGCCAUCCCGGCAGCCCAGCACUGGUGGGGUGCCGGCGGCCUCGGCGACCCCAGCGCAGGCGGGAUUGUGGGCGCGGCGGCCUCGGCAGCUCCAAUCCCGGAUAUCUAGGCGCGGGUGAGGACUCCAUCGGCCCCUGCGACCCUAGCGCGGCCGGUGAUGCGGGCGUGGCGGCUCCGGCCACCUCGCCGCUGGCGGCCCGGUGCUGGUGUACCUCUCCCCCACGUGCCUCCUCACCAGCCCGCCCCGUGCGCUGCCGCCUAUGUCGCGCGUCAGGGGACACCAUGAGGUCAUGAUGCCGCGGCUAGAAAAUGUGGCCGCGGCCAGGUCCGCGCGCGGGCUCCUCCUUUGCAGCGGCGACCUCAAGGAACAACACUGGCAUGGUGCCUGGCUGCCUGUGUCAAACAUGCGCAUUGCGCUGCAGCAACAGAAGGAGCAGCUGCAAGACGACGUAUGCUCAAGAGCCGCACAUAACGUGGUCGACAGAAUUCCACUUCUGCUAAAUGCUUGUGAGGAUCAUUUGUUCACUUUGUGGUUUAGCCAUCAUGGUUUUUAGCUGAAUUAAGUCUUCAUAAAGUAUUUGGUAAUAAAUUUUGGGUAUCGGUGCAAUAAGCCCACGUAAGUGACACAAGACGACCGUGAAUCGGUGAUCUUUUACACUGCAUGCUGCUGAGGACUUACUAUCUCUUCCCAUAGAUCAAACAAUACUAUAUGGUUUAACUUCGGUAAGGAGGAGCUACUGCAUCAGCUACAAGUGCAAAGCAAUGGCAUUAAUUCAAGACCAUUUGUACUGAAGCUUAUAGAUCGCAGGGGGCUAUGCCUGACACCUGCUGGGCUAGAAUCAAAGUUGGCAACUCGCAAAUAUUACAGUCGGGAAGAACGAUAAGUGACUUCAUUCCUCCACACGGGCAAGAACUGCUGCCUGUAACAUUGUAUUUAGUUAUUCGUCACCAUUGCAACUUGCAAGGUACACGACAGCAACACGAGGUGAAGACGAGGGCUCAAUUUCUGGACACUGGCGACGUGAUGCUCUAUGAGGCUGUGCAUUAUGAAGAGAACUCACUCCGCUAAAUAUCCAAGAAAUCUGCUAAAAUUAAAUGAAUUAUGUGGCAAGCUAUUCCACCAUUCAAAUUGCUUGGUGAUGUUUAUCUUCUUUUUAAAAACCUAUCACUUGAUAUUAUCAGCUGAUGUUACCAUAGAGCCAGCUGAUUAUCAUAGAGCCAGCUGCAGAUCUUGCCGACGAAAGCCGUCCUCCACUAUCCAGAUUAUUCCUGUGUAGUUACACUAUUACAUAGUACCUGUUUUUUGUAUUUCUUUUUGCUUCCCUUUACUUUGCUGUCUUGGUGCCUGUUAGCUUCCUGUAACAACAAUGCAUAGUGGCCUGAAAAUUUGUUUUCCUAUGUAGUUACAUGGCAUGGAAACAGAUGAAACAAUCCCAAGCAUCGCAUAUUUAUCAAA